CAGUCGCCGCGGUAAAACGUAGGGGGCGAGCGUUGUCCGAAGUUACUGGGCGUAAAGCGCGCGUAGGCGGCUUCUUAAGUCUGAGGUGAAAGGUUCAACGCUUAACGUGAACAGUGCCUUGGAUACUGGGGAGCUUGAGUAUGGGAGAGGGCAGUGGAAUGGCUGGUGUAGUGGUGAAAUGCGUAGAUAUCAGUCGGAACACCCAUGGCGAAGGCAGCUGCCUGGCCUAAUACUGACGCUGAGGUGCGAAAGCGUGGGGAGCGAACGGGAUUAGAUACCCCAGUAGUCCCUGUCUCUUAUA
rnacentral:rRNA from 1 species